rnacentral:lncRNA from 13 species
GACACUGAAGCAGUGAAGCAUAUGUGUUGUGUGUGUUUUUCAGUAGGAGACCAUCAUCUCAAUAGAUUUUCAAGAUUUACAAUUCACCGGGCCCACGGUGCGACCGCUCUCCCACCCCCUCUCCGCCACCCCUCCACCCCACCCCCCCACCCCCGCGACUGGGGUCCGCACGGGAGGGGGCGGGGCAAACUGUCCCCAGUGCGCCCCGGGCGGGUAACGCCAUGGGGCCUGGGGGGUUGGUUUCUCUCAGGCCACACGCGCGUCCCCCGAAGAGGGGACGGCGGAGCGAGCGCACGGGGUUGGCGGCGAUGUCGGCUACCCACCCGACCUGUCUUGAAACACGGACCAAGGAGUCUAACAGGUGCGCGAGUCCGGGGCUCGCACGAAAGCCGCCGUUGCGCAAUGAAGGUGAAGGCCGGCGCGCUCGCCGGCCGAGGUGGGAGCUUUGUAUAUAAGCUCUUUUUUUGCAUAUUGCCUGAACCGUGGGGAUAUGAAGUCCACAGACUUGGCAUCUUGAGAUGUGGAACCAUCCAGCUCUACAGUCCUUCAGAAAGAUCCUAG